UGUACAAAAACAGUCCCACGCUCAUAGGCUAAUCUAUUGAUAAGACGCCGAGUUCUUUCACCGCAGGCAUCACAUGUGAACUGCACCAUCAAACUUCUCCUAGGAAGUGCUAUAUCAAAAGCUGCAUCCUUUACAAUGAUGAAAUAAAAAAGAUUGUGUCAUUUAAAGCAACAAAAAGAGAGGAGAGAAUUGGAAUAAAAGAAAGAAAUACGAAUUUAAUUUAAUUCCCAAUCAAAAACUGCAGUACGAAGUAACUUU
rnacentral:lncRNA from 1 species